rnacentral:rRNA from 1 species
GUGAACGCUGGCGGUAUGGAUAAGGCAUGCAAGUCUAGGGGCCCGCAAGGGCACCGGCAGACGAGGUAGUAACACGUAGGAACGUACCCGGAAGUCGUGCACAGCUCGUCGAAAGACGGGGUAAUUCACGAUGGUCUCGCAAGAGUAAAGAUUUAUCGCUUCCGGAGCGGCCUGCGUCGUAUCAGCUAGUUGGUGAGGUAAUGGCUCACCAAGGCUAUGACGCGUAGGGGACCUGAGAGGGUGACCCCCACCGAUGAAACUGAGACACGGUUCAUACCCCUACGGGGGGCCGCAGCCGAGAAUAUUCGACAAUGGGCGAAAGCCUGAUCGAGCGAUACCGCGUGGUGGAUGAAGUGCUUCGGCACGUAAACACCUUUUAUGGAGGAGGAAGUCAUUGACGUUACUCCAUGAAUAAGGGGCUCCUAACUCUGU